rnacentral:rRNA from 1 species
CAGCAGCCACGGGAAUACGAGGGGGGCAAGCGUUGUUCGGAAUUAUUGGGCGUAAAGCGUGCGUAGGCGGUGAGUUAAGUCUGCUGUGAAAUCCCCGGGUUCAACCUGGGAAUGGCAGUGGAUACUGGCUCGCUAGAGUGUGUCAGAGGAUGGUGGAAUUCCCGGUGUAGCGGUGAAAUGCGUAGAGAUCUGGAGGAAUACCGGUGGCGAAGGCGGCCCCCUGGACAAAGACUGACGCUCAGGUGCGAAAGCGUGGGGAGCAAACAUGAUUAGAUACCCGCGUAGUCCCUGUCUCUUAUAC